UGUUACAGCGAACAAGUGCUCCCUUUAAAUAGCUUUUUUGUUUUCAUCCUGCCAGUCCUUACAACAAUCCCUUACCACUGUGCACCAAUACAACCUAAAGUUGAAUUUCUGUAACAGUAGGAUUUACAAAAGUUCUUUUGAUUCUUAAUUAGUAUACGAGAUGUAGCACUUCUACACGAUUACUGUGUCCAUGUACUAUAUGGUUGUAUGCCUCUCAAAAUAAAGAUGACAUAUUUUCAGACUACCUUUUUCAAAAAGAAGGCUUCUCAAUUCUACUGCUACAAUUUAUUCGUACUAUCAU